UACGUAGGGUGCGAGCGUUGUCCGGAAUUACUGGGCGUAAAGAGCUCGUAGGUGGUUUGUCGCGUUGUUCGUGAAAACUCACAGCUUAACUGUGGGCGUGCGGGCGAUACGGGCAGACUGGAGUACUGCAGGGGAGACUGGAAUUCCUGGUGUAGCGGUGGAAUGCGCAGAUAUCAGGAGGAACACCGGUGGCGAAGGCGGGUCUCUGGGCAGUAACUGACGCUGAGGAGCGAAAGCGUGGGGAGCUAACAGG
rnacentral:rRNA from 1 species